rnacentral:pre_miRNA from 1 species
AAUGGGAGAAUGAUAAAUCAGCUUUUUCCUUUUGAUUUUCAGCUUUUUCCUCUGGAAAAAAUUCAAAUCCAACUGAAAAUGCUAAAAAUCAGGAAAAAAGUUGAUUUGUCAUUCUCUCAUG